rnacentral:lncRNA from 1 species
CCCAGAGUGGAGGGCCGCAGAGGUCAGAAAGGCCCUGGCUUCCACCCGGUUUCUUUUUCAGUCAUGUGUCUUUUUUGGGAGGACGCUGGGUUUCAGGGCUCCAGAAUCUUGAGCAAGGGACCCUUUACAGAAGGCUCUCCGUAGUGUCACUGGAUUCCGUAUAGCUUUUCUUCCAACUCCAUGAUACAGUUCCUCAGAGGAGUCCACGGAGCUGGGAGUCCUGCAGAGGACUGAGCUCUAACCCUUGUGUGCUGAGCAUUUCCUACCGUUGACUGCCACGGUGAAGAGGGAAAAGCCAGGCGAGGUCAUGGGUUGUUAGUUCCUUCCUGUUGCUCUGACAGAAAUCAUGACGAACUUACAGAAAGAAGGGUUUAUUUAGGCUCCUGGUUGGAGGACACAGUACACGAUGGCAGAGGAGGCCCAGGUGGCAGGAGCCCGAGGCCGCCGGUCACAUGGCAUCCACCAGCAGGAAGUGGCUGGCCACAUGGCACCACAGACAGGAAGUGGCUGGUCACAUGGCAUCCACAGACAGGAAGUGGCUGGUCACAUGGCAUCCACAGACAGGAAGCAGAGAGGUGAGCGCUGGUGCUCAGCUCAUCUUUCUGCUUUUAAUUCAGUCCAGGACCCGGUGCAUGGAGUCGUGGCGCCAACAUUCAGGGUGUGUGUUCCUGUCUCAGUUAAAUCUCUCUAGAAAUGUGCUCACAAACACACCUAGGGGUAUAUAACCUGGGUGAUUCUAAGUGUACUCAAGCUAUGGCUAGUACUGUGCGGGCUUGGCUCCUCCUCCACCCCCCCAACCCCCCUCCCCCGUGUGGGUGGAAUUAGUAAAAUGAGACUUACUCUGA